GGCUUACUACUCCCCGGUAAAGCGAUCCGGCAAUGGAUUAACAACUGGCGCCUCACUGCAAGUCCUACCAAAUAGCACACCUCCCAACAUUUCAAGAGGCUAAAGAAGGAUACAGUAAAACAAAUAAAUGUAGUUGCCUACGCAAACUCCGACUGCUUCCGUUACCCUGUAGAGUGUUCCUUUUGGCUGGACAAACUAAUAUAUAUACCAGAUUUUGCCUUUUUGCACAGUUCAAGUGAUGGCUUCCACUUGUGACAUUUCAGGAAUAUUGAUUUUCGCUGCCAGUAUAGCGCAUAGUGUUUCCUCACCAUUGUUGUCUCUUGAUACACAUUGGACAUGGGUUGCUGUGUGAGAGGGUUUUUUCCCAAUGAACUUCUCGUAUUGGUUAUUAUUUUCCGUACUAUGCUGAAUAGUCUUUCACAUGAAAUGUUGCUGUGGGGAUUAAACAAAUUAAUUUUACAAAUUUUGAAACCAUA